GCGAUACAUGGUUCCUGUUCUUAUCCAUACUCUCCUGUCGCAAUCCAUCCCCCAUCCGUCUCCAAUCCCACGACCCUGCCGUCCGGCCUCCUUCCCCGGCAGCCUUCACCCGCCCGCCCCGUCCGCGCCGCCAGCCACCCUCUCCCCUGCUUCUGGGCUGCUCGGCGGCCGGUCCUGCUGGCGGAUCUGAUCGGCGCGUCGCCUCUCCGUCUCCACCAGCCGCUGCUCCGCUCCGCGACCGGCCUUACCGAUGCCUAGCCCGGGUGGCCACGACGCAUCGCCUCUUCCUCUCCCCGGCGGUGGUCGGUCGGCGCGGCCGCGCGGGGCGUAUCCCGCCGCCGGACCAGGAUGUCCUGCACGCUCGGCGCGACAGCCGAUGGCACGAAUCGUCGCCGCCGGCCUCUCCGCUACUCCGCCUCACCUCUCCGCGACUCCUCAGCUCUGUCAGUUCGCCUCAGCUCUCCGCGACUCCCGAGUCCCGGCCUUGGCGCGACAGGCGACGGUGCGAGUCAGCGUCGCCGGCCUCUCCGCAACUCCGCCUCGCCUCUCAGCGACUUCCGAGCCGUCGACCCCGACUGCUUCCAUCUCCAGUUCCCCGUCCGCCUCCAGUGGUCGACUGCUCUGCUCCGACCUCGAUUUCAUUUGUUCAUUUAGAGACAUUGCUAUGCUACUUUGAAUUAGCAUGGCCAUAGAAGCACCUUACAAUCACCGUCGUGUUCUCCUUCGCCUCCCCAAACACCUCCGCCUGCAGAUCCGAUGACCACGUGCAGUUAGCUUUACAUCGCAGGGACCUCAUGGUCGGGUGAGUUUGCUUUGGUCUCUACAAUGAUGUAUGUCCAUGCUACUGCAAGCGCCAACAGCACCAUCUCAAUCUUGGUCACCUGUUAUCCGAACCAGUGUCACAAGACGUCGUUAUAGACAAGGUGGAACACGAGAUCAGCUAGCUCCUUCGUCAACUACAAAUUUGUCAAUGAAAUUGUCUGCAUAUACAGUUUUUGCCCCCCAAAAAACUACAAUUGAUUUGCCUCAAAAUCUGACCUCGGUGUAUUUAUGCAACACGCAGGAAUUUUAUUUUUGGAUGCAGUUCGCACAGCCAUCACAAUUCAAGUUAUGCAUUGGAAGUUGCAGUCAUUCUUUGAUACCAAAUGAAGAUGACCAAAACUACAGAUGAUAACUCCAAAUGGAUUGAUAUUUGCAUAGAUGUUCAUCACUGCUGCUUCGUAUGCACCUUGAGCUGUAUGUUUUAUACUGCAGAAUUUUGGCACGAAUGAUUGGGUUUAGCUGAAAUGCAUGUCUUAACAGAUUAGCUACACCUUUCUAUAAUGCAUACAUUUUGGCACAAUCUUCGCUAUAUCUUCCAAUCUAGGUACUUUUCUAUUUUACUGACCCCCUUGGGUCACAAUUUCAGUACAAGAUGUAACUGAACAAAAGCAAUUCUUGCCUUUAAAUUUUGUAAAGUCUUUUGAUUCAGGUUUUGUAAUUUCAGUUCAGCUGCUUCACUACAACUGCAGUUGAUUCUUUGUUUUGGGCUAUCAGCAUUUCCCAUUAUUGACCUUA